rnacentral:tRNA from 1 species
GUCUCCGUAGUAUAUUUAAUACACUGGUCUUGUAAAUCAACAAAGGAGCUUUAACCCUCCCUGAGACU